rnacentral:misc_RNA from 1 species
UCCGAGUUGUCCCCGGCAGUCUCUUUGGAGUCCCCACCAUUACCUGAUGGCAACUAGUGAUGGGGGUUGCGCUCGUUGCGGGACUUAACCCAACACCUCACGGCACGAGCUGACGACAGCCAUGCAGCACCUGUGUCCAGGUUCCCUUUCGGGCACACCGAACUCUCAUCCGGCUCCCUGGCAUGUCAAGGGUAGGUAAGGUUCUUCGCGUUGCAUCGAAUUAAUCCACAUCAUCCACCGCUUGUGCGGGUCCCCGUCAAUUCCUUUGAGUUUUAACCUUGCGGCCGUACUCCCCAGGCGGUCAACUUCACGCGUUAGCUUCGUUACUAAUGGGUUUAACCCCACCAACAACCAGUUGACAUCGUUUAGGGCGUGGACUAC